UUGUAGUUGUUGUACGGUAAUAUUGGUAAGUUUGUUUCAAACAACAUCCUUCCUAUUUCACCAUUCAAGUAAUUACAAAUCAAUUUUAUCCUAGGAGGAUGUUUAACAUGGAACAAGGUACAGUAAAAUGGUUUAACUCAGAAAAAGGCUACGGAUUUAUUACUGCAGAAAACGGAAACGAUGUAUUCGUACAUUUCUCAGCAAUCCAAGGCGACGGAUUCAAAACUUUAGAAGAAGGUCAAGCAGUGACUUUCGAUGUUGAAGAUGGCCAACGUGGACCACAAGCAACUAACGUAAACAAAGCUUAAUUAGUUGAAUUUUACAAGCCGGAUGCGCAAGCAUCUGGCUUUUUU
rnacentral:sRNA from 1 species